rnacentral:rRNA from 1 species
AGAGUUUGAUCAUGGCUCAGAGCGAACGCUGGCGGCGUGCUUAACACAUGCAAGUCGAACGCGCAGCAUUCUGUAGCAAUACAGGGUGUGGGCGCGUGGCGAACGGGUGCGUAACACGUGGAUAACCUUCCUUGAGGUGGGGAAUAACCCAGUGAAAAUUGGGCUAAUACCGCAUAACAUCGCGAUGGCACAUGCUGUUGCGAUCAAAGGCGCAAGUCGCCACAAGAGGGAUCCGCGGCCGAUUAGCUUGUUGGCGAGGUAAUGGCUCACCAAGGCAAUGAUCGGUAGCCGGACUGAGAGGUUGGCCGGCCACACUGGAACUGAGACACGGUCCAGACUCCUACGGGAGGCAGCAGUGGGGAAUCUUGCACAAUGGACGAAAGUCUGAUGCAGCAACGCCGCGUGGGGGAUGAAGCUUCUCGGAGUGUAAACCCCUUUCGACCCGGAAGAAUGCCCGCAAGGGUAUGACGGUACGGGUAUAAGAAGCCCCGGCUAACUACGUGCCAGCAGCCGCGGUAAUACGUAGGGGGCCAGCGUUGCUCGGAAUUACUGGGCGUAAAGGGUCCGUAGGCGGUGUAGCAAGUCGAUAGUGAAAUCUCUGGGCUUAACCCAGAGGCUGCUAACGAAACUGCUGUGCUAGAGUGUGAGAGAGGCGAGUGGAAUUACGGGUGUAGCGGUGAAAUGCGUAGAUAUCCGUAGGAACAUCCGAGGCGAAGGCGGCUCGCUGGAUCACAACUGACGCUGAGGGACGAAAGCUAGGGGAGCAAACAGGAUUAGAUACCCUAGUAGUCC